rnacentral:rRNA from 1 species
UCUGUGGCAAUACAGAUGGCGCACGGCGCACGGGUGCGUAACACGUGGGUAAUCUGCCCUUCGAUGGGGAAUAACUCCGGGAAACCGAAGCUAAUUCCGCAUAACAUUCCUUGAACUUCGGUUUGGGGACUCAAAGCCGUAAGGCGUCGGAGGAGGAACCCGCGCACGAUUAGCUAGUUGGUAGGGUAACGGCCUACCAAGGCUUUGAUCGUUAGCUGGUCUGAGAGGAUGGCCAGCCACACUGGAACUGAGACACGGUCCAGACUCCUACGGGAGGCAGCAGUGGGGAAUCUUGCACAAUGGGCGAAAGCCUGAUGCAGCGACGCCGCGUGGGGGAUGAAGCUUUUCGGAGUGUAAACCCCUUUCGACCCGGACGAAUACCUCGCAAGAGGGGUGACGGUACGGGUAUAAGAAGCCCCGGCUAACUACGUGCCAGCAGCCGCGGUAAGACGUGGGGGGCCAGCGUUGUUCGGAAUUACUGGGUGUAAAGGGUCAGUAGGCGGUGUGGCAAGUCGGGAGUGAAAUCUCUGGGCUCAACCCAGAGACUGCUUCCGAAACUGCUGUGCUAGAGUGUGGGAGAGGCGCGUGGAAUUGCAGGUGUAGCGGUGAAAUGCGUAGAUAUCUGCAGGAACACCCGUGGCGAAAGCGGCGCGCUGGACCACAACUGACGCUGAAUGACGAAAGCUAGGGGAGCAAACAGGAUUAGAUACCCUGGUAGUCCUAGCCCUAAACGAUCAGGACUUGGGGUGCCGCACGUUCGUGCGUCGUCCCGGAGCUAACGCGUUAAGUCCUGCACCUGGGGAGUACGGUCGCAAGACUGAAACUC